rnacentral:rRNA from 1 species
AGAGUUUGAUCAUGGCUCAGGACGAACGCUGGCGGCGUGCCUAAUACAUGCAAGUCGAACGGUCUUUUCUAUGGAAGCUUGCUUCCACUGAGAAGAUAGUGGCGAACGGGUGAGUAACACGUGGGUAACCUGCCCAUAAGAGGGGGAUAACAUCCGGAAACGGGUGCUAAUACCGCAUAGUUUUCUUGAUCGCAUGAUUGAGAAAGGAAAGACGGCCUUUGUGCUGUCGCUUAUGGAUGGACCCGCGGCGUAUUAGUUAGUUGGUGAGGUAACGGCUCACCAAGACGAUGAUACGUAGCCGACCUGAGAGGGUGAUCGGCCACAUUGGGACUGAGACACGGCCCAAACUCCUACGGGAGGCAGCAGUAGGGAAUCUUCCGCAAUGGACGAAAGUCUGACGGAGCAACGCCGCGUGAGUGAAGAAGGUUUUCGGAUCGUAAAACUCUGUUGUCAGAGAAGAACAAGUUGGAGAGUAACUGCUCCAGCCUUGACGGUAUCUGACCAGAAAGCCACGGCUAACUACGUGCCAGCAGCCGCGGUAAUACGUAGGUGGCAAGCGUUGUCCGGAUUUAUUGGGCGUAAAGCGAGCGCAGGCGGUUCCUUAAGUCUGAUGUGAAAGCCCACGGCUCAACCGUGGAAGGUCAUUGGAAACUGGGGAACUUGAGUGCAGAAGAGGAGAGUGGAAUUCCAUGUGUAGCGGUGAAAUGCGUAGAUAUAUGGAGGAACACCAGUGGCGAAGGCGACUCUCUGGUCUGUAACUGACGCUGAGGCUCGAAAGCGUGGGGAGCAAACAGGAUUAGAUACCCUGGUAGUCC